UGUUGAUGUUGUGUCUCUGCUUGUCUUCAGUGUGCUGAGAGCAGAUAAAUCAUUUCCAUAGAGACGAGGCUUUGCAUGGUCAGCUGAUCCUCCAGGGAACUGAGAAGGUUUAUAGUCCUGUGAGUUCAACACUGCAGGACUCAGAUCUGUCAGUCAACCCAGCAGAACCAACAAGCACCAUGACUCUCAUCACCAUCCUGAUCUGGACGCUGCUGACCUGCUGAUGUUUUACAGGAUCUAAAAGUCAAGUAACUGUGACACAGCCUGCCUUAAUGACAUCUUCUCCUGGAUCUACAGUCACUGUGACCUGUGACACAAACCCAAGGGUAUAUAGAUGGCCUGAUGGUGAUUUUGCAAUAAA